UACGUUCCCAGGCCUUGUACACACCGCCCGUCACAUCAUGAAAGCCGCUUGUACCCGAAGUCGCCCUUAAAAGGCGCCGAAGGUAUGGGUGGUGAUUGGGAUG
rnacentral:rRNA from 1 species